GAUGAACGCUGGCGGCGUGCCUAAUACAUGCAAGUCGAGCGAACAGACGAGGAGCUUGCUCCUCUGACGUUAGCGGCGGACGGGUGAGUAACACGUGGAUAACCUACCUAUAAGACUGGGAUAACUUCGGGAAACCGGAGCUAAUACCGGAUAAUAUAUUGAACCGCAUGGUUCAAUAGUGAAAGACGGUUUUGCUGUCACUUAUAGAUGGAUCCGCGCCGCAUUAGCUAGUUGGUAAGGUAUCGGCUUACCAAGGCAACGAUGCGUAGCCGACCUGAGAGGGUGAUCGGCCACACUGGGACUGAGACACGGUCCAGACUCCUACGGGAGGCAGCAGUAGGGAAUCUUCCGCAAUGGGCGAAAGCCUGACGGAGCAACGCCGCGUGAGUGAUGAAGGUCUUCGGAUCGUAAAACUCUGUUAUUAGGGAAGAACAAAUGUGUAAGUAACUAUGCACGUCUUGACGGUACCUAAUCAGAAAGCCACGGCUAACUACGUG
rnacentral:rRNA from 1 species